rnacentral:rRNA from 1 species
UACGUAGGGGGCAAGCGUUGUCCGGAAUCAUUGGGCGUAAAGAGCGUGUAGGCGGCCCGGUAAGUCCGCUGUGAAAGUCCAGGGCUCAACCCUGGGAUGCCGGUGGAUACUGUCGGGCUCGAGUCCGGAAGAGGAGUGUGGAAUUCCUGGUGUAGCGGUGAAAUGCGCAGAUAUCAGGAGGAACACCGGUGGCGAAGGCGGUUACCUGGACAGUUACUGACGCUCAGGCACGAAAGCAUGGGGAGCAAAAGGG